rnacentral:tRNA from 2 species
GACCCUGUCGUCUAGUGGCCAAGGACGUCUGGAUUUCCUCCAGAACACGCAAGUUCGAAUCUUGCUGGGGUCGCCA